AUACGUAGGGUGCAAGCGUUAAUCGGAAUUACUGGGCGUAAAGCGUGCGCAGGCGGUUUUGUAAGACAGAGGUGAAAUCCCCGGGCUCAAACUGGGAACUGCCUUUGUGACUGCCAUGCUAGAGUACGGCAGAGGGGGAUGGAAUUUCGCGUGUAGCAGGGAAAUGCGGAGAUAUGCGGAGGAACACCGAUGGCGAAGGCAAGCCCCUGGGCCUGUACUGACGCUCAGGCACGAAAGCGUGGGGAGCAAACAGGAUUAGAUACCCUGUUAGUCCACGCCCUAAACGAUGUCAACUGGUUGUUGGGUCUUCAUUGACUCAGUAACGAAGCUAACGCGUGAAGUUGACCGCCUGGGGAGUACGGCCGCAAGGUUGAAACUCAAAUGAAUUGACGGGG
rnacentral:rRNA from 1 species